GAGCGCCGCUGCCUGGUCUGGAGAACCCCGCGGAGCUGGCCUGGCCCGACCCGGCCCGGCCCGGUCCGCGGCGCGGUGGUCGAGGGCCCGCGGCGCCUUCUGGGAGCGGGAGGGCCGGGAAGCCGGGCGUUGGUGGAGGGAGGCGUUGGGCUUCUGUCGCCGCGAAGCUGGCGGAAAAGGCAGUGGCCAGCGAGCCGCCUCGCCAGUUCCCACGACUCCCAGGGAGGUGGCGACACCCGCUUCCCGGGCCACCCUUUUCCCCUUCCUGACCGGGGUCCGUGCUUGCCUUCCCAGGUGUGAAGAAAAAAAUGACACUCCAAUGGGCUGCAGUGGCAACCUUUCUUUAUGCCGAAAUAGGACUCAUUUUAAUCUUCUGCCUACCUUUUAUUCCUCCUCAGAGAUGGCAGAAGAUUUUUUCAUUUAAUGUCUGGGGUAAAAUUGCAACUUUUUGGAACAAGGCUUUCCUUACCAUUAUCAUCCUAUUGAUUGUUCUAUUUCUAGAUGCUGUGAGAGAAGUAAGGAAAUAUUCCUCAGUUCAUACCAUUGAGAAGAGCUCCACCAGCAGACCUGAUGCCUAUGAACACACACAGAUGAAACUUUUUAGGUCUCAAAGAAAUCUUUACAUUUCUGGAUUUUCCCUAUUUUUUUGGCUAGUUUUGAGACGUCUGGUUACGCUUAUUACUCAACUGGCAAAAGAACUGUCAAACAAAGGUGUACUUAAAACUCAAGCAGAAAAUACUAACAAGGCUGCCAAAAAAUUUAUGGAAGAAAACGAAAAACUAAAAAGGAUUUUGAAAAGCCAUGGUAAAGAUGAAGAAUGUGUUUUGGAAGCAGAAAAUAAAAAACUAGUAGAAGACCAGGAGAAACUGAAAACUGAAUUAAGGAAGACUUCAGAUGCCCUUUCUAAGGCACAAAAUGAUGUGAUGGAAAUGAAGAUGCAGUCAGAGAGACUUUCGAAAGAAUAUGAUCAACUCCUGAAAGAACACUCUGAACUUCAGAAGCAAAGGGAGAUAUUACCACACAGAAGAGGAGAAAGCACAGUGACCACAGAGGCAGAGAUUGGAGUGAUGGAGCCGCAGCAAAGGAAUGCUGACAGCCACCAGAAGCUGGAGGAGGCAAAGAACAGAUUCUUCCCCAGAGCCUCUUCCAGCAGGAGCAUGGCCCUACAGAUACCGAUAAAACUGAUAUUGGACUUCCUGGCCUCCAGAA
rnacentral:lncRNA from 1 species